ACCUGGCUGGCUCAGUCAGUAGAGCAUGUGGCUCUUUAUUGCAAGGUUGUGAGUUCAAGCCCAUGUUAGGUG
rnacentral:tRNA from 1 species